CCCAGACUCCUACGGGAGGCAGCAGUGGGGGAUAUUGCACAAUGGGGGGAACCCUGAUGCAGCGACGCCGCGUGGGUGAAGGAGCGUUUCGGCGCGUAAAGCCCUCUCGGCAGGGAAGAAGGAGGACGGUACCUGACUAAGAAGCCCCGGCUAACUACGUGCCAGCAGCCGCGGUAAUACGUAGGGGGCAAGCGUUAUCCGGAUUUACUGGGUGUAAAGGGGGCGCAGACGGCAGCGCAAGCCAGGAGUGAAAGCCCGGGGCCCAACCCCGGGACUGCUCUUGGAACUGCGCGGCUGGAGUGCAGGAGGGGCAGGCGGAAUUCCUGGUGUAGCGGUGAAAUGCGUAGAUAUCAGGAGGAACACCGGUGGCGAAGGCGGCCUGCUGGACUGCAACUGACGUUGAGGCCCGAAAGCGUGGGGAGCAAACAGGAUUAGAUACCCCCGUACC
rnacentral:rRNA from 1 species